CGGGGCGUAGCGCAGGCCGGCAGCGCACCUGCUUUGGGAGCAGGGGGUCACAGGUUCAAAUCCUGUCGCCCCGACCA
rnacentral:tRNA from 1 species